rnacentral:rRNA from 1 species
CAGUCGCCGCGGUAAUACGAGGGGGGCAAGCGUUGUUCGGAUUUAUUGGGCGUAAAGGGUGCGUAGGCGGUUUGGCAAGUCUUGUGUGAAAUCUAUGGGCUCAACCCAUAGCCUGCACGAGAAACUACCGGGCUUGAGUAAUGGAGAGGUGAGUGGAAUUUCCGGUGUAGCGGUGAAAUGCGUAGAUAUCGGAAGGAACACCUGUGGCGAAAGCGGCUCACUGGACAUUAACUGACGCUGAUGCACGAAAGCUAGGGGAGCAAACAGGAUUAGAUACCCGGGUAGUCCCUGUCUCUUAUAC